AACGAACGCUGGCGGCAGGCCUAACACAUGCAAGUCGAACGCUGUAGCAAUACAGAGUGGCAGACGGGUGAGUAACGCGUGGGAACGUGCCCUUCGGUUCGGGAUAACUCAGGGAAACUUGAGCUAAUACCGGAUACGCCCUUUGGGGGAAAGAUUUAUUGCCGAAGGAUCGGCCCGCGUCCGAUUAGCUAGUUGGUGAGGUAAAGGCUCACCAAGGCGACGAUCGGUAGCUGGUCUGAGAGGAGGAUCAGCCACACUGGGACUGAGACACGGCCCAGACUCCUACGGGAGGCAGCCGUGGGGAAUAUUGGACAAUGGGCGCAAGCCUGAUCCAGCCAUGCCGCGUGAGUGAUGAAGGCCCUAGGGUUGUAAAGCUCUUUCGCCAGGGACGAUAAUGACGGUACCUGGAUAAGAAGCCCCGGCUAACUUCGUGCCAGCCGCCGCGGUAAAAC
rnacentral:rRNA from 1 species